rnacentral:rRNA from 1 species
UACAGAGGUCCCAAGCGUUGUUCGGAUUCAUUGGGCGUAAAGGGCGCGUAGGCGGGCUGUCAAGUCUGGGGUGAAAUCCCGCGGCUCAACCGUGGAACUGCCUCAGAUACUGACGGUCUCGAGGGAGGUAGGGGCGAGCGGAACUGUGAGUGGAGCGGUGAAAUGCGUUGAUAUUCACAGGAACUCCGGUGGCGAAGGCGGCUCGCUGGACCUCUUCUGACGCUGAGGCGCGAAAGCCAGGGGAGCAAACAGG